AACGAACGCUGGCGGCAUGCCUAACACAUGCAAGUCGAACGAGACCUUCGGGUCUGGUGGCGCACGGGUGCGUAACGCGUGGGAACCUGCCCUUAGGCUCGGAAUAAAUCCCCGAAAGGGGUGCUAAUACCGGAUAAUGUCCUCGGACCAAAGAUUUAUCGCCUUUGGAUGAGCCUGCGUUGGAUUAGCUGGUUGGUAGGGUAAAAGCCUACCAAGGGGACGAUCCAUAGCUGGUCUGAGAGGAUGAGCAGCCACACUGGGACUGAGACACGGCCCAGACUCCUACGGGAGGCAGCAGUGGGGAAUAUUGGACAAUGGGCGAAAGCCUGAACCAGCAAGGCCGCGUGAGUGAUGAAGGCCUUAGGGUUGUAAAGCGCUUUUACCCGGGAUGAUAAUGACAGUACCGGGAGAAUAAGCUCCGGCUAACUCCGUG
rnacentral:rRNA from 1 species